AUCUUUAUAAGGUAACAUUUGUGAAGUGUUAUUUCCCCGGUUAUAUCUAUUACUUUUUUUUUUCUUGUAGAAAUUAAAUAUUUAUUUUUUUUAUUUAUUAAUUUACUCAUAGAGUAAUAACCAUUUUGCAUAAAAAAAAUAGUCAAAAGACUCGUAACCAUUCCAAAACAUUUAGAAGGGCUUUCUAGAAAAACAAGAAAAAAAAGGAAACAUUUAGAAGGGCAAAAAAAUAAAUAAAUUGGAAAACACAUUCUCGUCAUAACCCAAUUUUGUGAAAUUGAAAUUACUCUCACUACAUUACUACCCUCUCGCCGUGACAGAGCCUAAAACUUGAAAAAACCAAAAUGGGAAGAAGCAAACUUUUAAAAAACUUAAACCCUCCAACACCGACGAAACCAACACGACGAAAGCGGUGGGCCUAAGUCUGUGGGUUCGGCAGUUACGGUAGCGGAGGGCGUUAUGGUGGGCUCGUCGGCCAUUGUUGUGUGGGAGUUUGUGAGAUACCUAGAGAAAGGUUUCUCCAAACCGCCUUGCCAAAUGCCAAUCAUCUUUUAACGCUGCUAAGUUACUUUAGGCGCUCUAUUAGUUAAUUUCUAUCAGCCAUCCUCUUCGUUACCAAAUCCAUGUUGUUUGUGAGUCUUCAACCAGAUUCAGUAGAAAAUCAGGGUGAAGAAAAUGCUAGCUGCAAACACAGAAGAAACUAUUGGUGUUGAGUCUAGUUCAGCUGUUCAAUCCCAGUUCGUGGACACGAAAAUGAUCUCUGAUUUCAGUAUAGCUGUUGCAACUCACAAAAUAGAUUUUCCAUUGUGACAAGUGCCACACCUGCAACUAUGGCUGCAGUUAGCACAAAAACUGCCACUUCUUUGUCAAUCCCUACAACAAAUGUGCCCAAUUCUAAGCGUUUGAAGCAAGAGAAAGUGAAGAGGAUCAGGAAGGCCCUGCAGACAGAGUUUUCCCUGUUCCGCCCUUCUGUUGAUCUUAUCACUGCAACAUCAAUCAUGAUCAAGGGAUUGACAACUUAAUAUUUAGUCCGUAGCAGUUUCAAGGUUUUGAUGCUUGCUGCUGCUGUUGCUGUUACCUGUUGCUGUUGUUCUGAUUCCGAGCUACUGCUGUUCUGCUUUCGAGCUGCUGCUGCUCUGCUUCUAAUCUGCUGCUGCUCUAUUUCCGAGCUGCUAUUGUUUUGCACAUUGUGAAUUUUAUAUGUUGAAAUUGUAAUGUUACAAGCAUUUAUAUAUUAAUAAAA